CGACGUGGUUGGAGGAAGCUUGGACGUGACGACGGUGCUGGGGAGGGACGGGGUGAAGGGGCCGCAUCUUGCUGGAAAUACCACGGUCAUCUGGAGUGUUUCAUCUUGCAACCGUCGGCACGUUCAGAACAGGUGCUUUGAAUGGCAGGACCCUCCUCUCUCUCAGCACAUUACCCCUCGAAGAGUUCUGUUACCAUACAAAGACUCAACGAUGGCUCCAGGAAGCUCUCGGCCAGCAAGUUCUGCUUUACGAGCAGGUGCAGGAAAAUUGUGCAGCUCGGUGACAAGUUGCAUGGAGCCAAAUCUAGACCAACAAUUUGGAACAGCGACCCUUCAGCAGAAUUCACCUUGUCACGCUAAUAGCUUACAUCUGAAUUAGUGUUAGCUGUGGAGAAGCAUUAUUAAAGGCAAACUCCAUA